AUUGAACGCUGGCGGAAUGCUUUACACAUGCAAGUCGAACGGCAGCACGGGGCAACCUGGUGGCGAGUGGCGAACGGGUGAGUAAUACAUCGGAACGUGCCCAAUCGUGGGGGAUAACGUAGCGAAAGUUACGCUAAUACCGCAUACGACCUGAGGGUGAAAGCGGGGGACCGAAAGGCCUCGCGCGAUUGGAGCGGCCGAUGGCAGAUUAGGUAGUUGGUGGGGGUAAAAGGCCCACCAAGCCUGCGAUCUGUAGCUGGUCUGAGAGGACGACCAGCCACACUGGGACUGAGACACGGCCCAGACUCCUACGGGAGGCAGCAGUGGGGAAUUUUGGACAAUGGGCGCAAGCCUGAUCCAGCCAUACCGCGUGCGGGAAGAAGGGCCUUCGGGUUGUAACGC
rnacentral:rRNA from 1 species